CCCUCCUAUUCUAUCAUUUCUCUCAUUCCCUUCUCUCUCUCCAAACCCACUCCUCUCAUCGCCGCCCACACCAUAAACCCUAGCCACCCCAAAUCGUAGCCAAACUACGCCGCCUCACCUCGCCGCCUCUCCAAACCCGCUCCCCCAUCGCCGUCUCUUCAAACUCGCUCCUCCCAUCACCGCCCACAUCAUAAACCCUAGCCUCCUUAAAUCUAAAUCUCUAAUACCCGAUUCUCUAGACAAACUCUUUACCUCUCCUAGACGCUUCUCUAAUACCCCACCACUUCUCUAACCAAACCCCUCCGCCUCUUUAGUUGAUUCUCUAAUACCCCGCUGCCCACAGUUCCAGUACAUUCUCUUCUUCUUAAUGUAUAUCUUGUAAUAUGAGUAGACAAUCUCAAAGAAAGCGGGAUCUUAGUGAAUCUCAAUAUACAGAAUCCGACAAGGAUGUACGUGAAUAUAAAAUUGGCGAUAGAAGAACAAAAAAGGACAAAGAGGUAGUUAGAGUCCAACCAAGUUGAUCUAGUUCAGGACAAAGUUAUUCUUUAAACUCAAGUGCAGUCUUUAAAUGAAAAGUUUGACACUUUCCUAGAAGUAUGGAAUAAGUCAGGGCAAUAAAAGAUCUCAAACAUUUCUAUCAGGACGGCUGAUGAAGAAGGUUAUUGAUUCAACUUUUAAU